rnacentral:rRNA from 1 species
GACGAACGCUGGCGGCGUGCCUAAUACAUGCAAGUCGAGCGAAUCUUUUGGGAGCUUGCUCCCUUAAGAUUAGCGGCGGACGGGUGAGUAACACGUGGGUAAACUGCCUGUAAGACUGGGAUAACUUCGGGAAACCGGCGCUAAUACCGGAGAGGUUCUUUUCUCGCAUGAGGGAAGAUGGAAAGAUGGUUCUGCUAUCAACUAAAGCUGGACCCGCGGCGCAUUAGCUAGUUGGUGAGGUAACGGCUCACCAAGGCGACGAUGCCUAGCCGACCUGAGAGGGUGAUCGGCCACACUGGGACUGAGGCACGCCCCAGACUCCUACGGGAGGCAGCAGUAGGGAAUCUUCCGCAAUGGACGAAAGUCUUACGGAGCAACGCCGCGUGAGCGAAGAAGGCCUUCGGGUCGUAAAGCUCUGUUGUUAGGGAAGAACAAGUACGAGAUUAACUGCUCGUACCUUGACGGUACCUAACCAGAAAGCCACGGCUAACUACGUGCCAGCCGCCGCCGUAA